rnacentral:rRNA from 1 species
UACGUAGGGUGCGAGCGUUUGUCCGGAAUUAUUGGGCGUAAAGAGCUUGUAGGCGGUUUGUCGCGUCUGCCGUGAAAAUCCGGGGCUCAACCCCGGACUUGCGGUGGGUACGGGCAGACUAGAGUGUGGUAGGGGAGAACGGAAUUCCUGGUGUAGCGGUGAAAUGCGCAGAUAUCAGGAGGAACACCGGUGGCGAAGGCAGUGUUCUGGGCCAGUACUGACGCUGAGGAGCGAAAGCGUGGGGAGCAAACAGG